GCUUGGUUCAAGACCGCACGAAACUUUUUUAAGAGCCGCAUGCGGCGAUCGUGCCUCGUGACCACCCCUGCCAUAGAAUAAUUACUCAAUCAUCUAUGGUUCACAGUUUACACCUUAUUUAUCUACCUUGGCCAGUAUUUUCAAUAUUAAUACUUUGAUGUUAUUCUAAACGUUUACUCAUAAGUGAUACGCUGUUAGUAAGUAGGUACAUACCUAUUUUACAGAAUUUCUGAAAGUCCAAUUAUCUACGUAUGGACGUGUUUAAAAGUAAUGUAUUGUAUUUACAUUAAUUUAUUUCAAUAGGAAACGCCAACAUGCAACGCUUUUGGUAGUAAGUACGGGAAAUCAUUUAAUUGUUAAAAAAUUAUGCAUUAAAUACUUGCAAACCAAUAAUGAUGUUUAGAUCAGAGUCUUACCCAAGUGAUCGAUCUCAGUAGCUAUCAGCUGGUAAUUUCUUUUAGAUCAUAUACUACGUAUAUAUAUGUAAUAAUAAUUUGUGUUAAGUAAUUUGGAUUAACUAUGGCUUUUUUGGGAUAGGAAGAAAAAAAUGUAAAGAAACGACCAUAACAUUAACAUUGUCAAAUGGUGUAUGCAACUAGGUAAGUGUAUUACAGCAAAUUAUAGGGCGUGUGACCAACAUAGGCACCAAAUACGCGUCACGAAGAUAGUUCACGUAAUUAUAUGGAAACCACUGGUGUUUCUAUCGGGC